AAGGGCUUAGCUUAAUAAAAGUAAUUGAUUCGCAUUUAGUUGAUGUAAGAUAAAGUCUUGCAGUCCUUA
rfam:Ictidomys tridecemlineatus contig099716, whole genome shotgun sequence.